rnacentral:rRNA from 1 species
UGGGGAAUAUUGGGCAAUGGGCGCAAGCCUGACCCAGCAACGCCGCGUGAAGGAAGAAGGCUUUCGGGUUGUAAACUUCUUUUAUGAGGGACGAAACAAAUGACGGUACCUCAUGAAUAAGCCACGGCUAACUACGUGCCAGCAGCCGCGGUAAUACGUAGGUGGCAAGCGUUGUCCGGAUUUACUGGGUGUAAAGGGCGUGUAGCCGGGCCGGCAAGUCAGAUGUGAAAUCCCAAGGCUCAACCUUGGAACUGCAUUUGAAACUGUUGGUCUUGAGUAUCGGAGAGGCAGGCGGAAUUCCUAGUGUAGCGGUGAAAUGCGUAGAUAUUAGGAGGAACACCAGUGGCGAAGGCGGCCUGCUGGACGACAACUGACGGUGAGGCGCGAAAGCGUGGGGAGCAAACAGG